rnacentral:tRNA from 1 species
GAGAUGGCCGAGUGGUUUAAGGCAAUAGUUUGCUAAACUAUCAUAUACAUAAGAUUUAUGUAUAUCGUGGGUUCAAAUCCCAUUCUCUCCA